rnacentral:rRNA from 1 species
UACCCUGGUAGUCCACGCCGUAAACGUUGGGCGCUAGAUGUAGGGACCUUUCCACGGUUUCUGUGUCGUAGCUAACGCAUUAAGCGCCCCGCCUGGGGAGUACGGCCGCAAGGCUAAAACUCAAAGGAAUUGACGGGGGCCCGCACAAGCGGCGGAGCAUGCGGAUUAAUUCGAUGCAACGCGAAGAACCUUACCAAGGCUUGACAUACACCGGAAACGGCCAGAGAUGGUCGCCCCCUUGUGGUCGGUGUACAGGUGGUGCAUGGUUGUCGUCAGCUCGUGUCGUGAGAUGUUGGGUUAAGUCCCGCAACGAGCGCAACCCUCGUUCUAUGUUGCCAGCGCGUUAUGGCGGGGACUCAUAGGAGACUGCCGGGGUCAACUCGGAGGAAGGUGGGGAUGACGUCAAAUCAUCAUGCCCCUUAUGUCUUGGGCUUCACGCAUGCUACAAUGGCCGGUACAAAGGGCUGCGAUACCGUAAGGUGGAGCGAAUCCCAAAAAGCCGGUCUCAGUUCGGAUUGAGGUCUGCAACUCGACCUCAUGAAGUCGGAGUCGCUAGUAAUCGCAGAUCAGCAACGCUGCGGUGAAUACGUUCCCGGGCCUUGUACACACCGCCCGUCAAGUCAUGAAAGUCGGUAACACCCGAAGCCGGUGGCCUAACCCUUGUGGAAGGAGCCGUCGAANGUGGGAUCGGUGAUUAGGACUAAGUCGUAACAANGGUA